AUGGAGAGGGAUGCUAAUUAUGGGAAGGAAGACGAAGAACUCAAAAAGGUGUUUUCAACUUUUGACAAGAAUGGUGAUGGAUUCAUAACAAAGCAAGAGUUUAUGGAAUCACUAAGGAUCUUCAUGAACGAGAAAGAGAUUGAUGAUAUUAUUGUGAAUUUGACUCAAACAAAGAUGGAUAAUGAUGAGAAGGGAGGAGCAAAACUUGUAUUUGAUGCAUAA